AGAGUUUGAUCCUGGCUCAGAUUGAACGCUGGCGGCAGGCUUAACACAUGCAAGUCGAGCGGGGGAAGGUAGCUUGCUACUGGACCUAGCGGCGGACGGGUGAGUAAUGCUUAGGAAUCUGCCUAUUAGUGGGGGACAACAUCUCGAAAGGGAUGCUAAUACCGCAUACGUCCUACGGGAGAAAGCAGGGGAUCUUCGGACCUUGCGCUAAUAGAUGAGCCUAAGUCGGAUUAGCUAGUUGGUGGGGUAAAGGCCUACCAAGGCGACGAUCUGUAGCGGGUCUGAGAGGAUGAUCCGCCACACUGGGACUGAGACACGGCCCAGACUCCUACGGGAGGCAGCAGUGGGGAAUAUUGGACAAUGGGGGGAACCCUGAUCCAGCCAUGCCGCGUGUGUGAAGAAGGCCUUAUGGUUGUAAAGCGCUUUAAGCGAGGAGGAGGCUACUUUAGUUAAUACCUAGAGAUAGUGGACGUUACUCGCAGAAUAAGCACCGGCUAACUCUGUGCCAGCAGCCGCGGUAAUACAGAGGGUGCGAGCGUUAAUCGGAUUUACUGGGCGUAAAGCGUGCGUAGGCGGCUUAUUAAGUCGGAUGUGAAAUCCCCGAGCUUAACUUGGGAAUUGCAUUCGAUACUGGUGAGCUAGAGUAUGGGAGAGGAUGGUAGAAUUCCAGGUGUAGCGGUGAAAUGCGUAGAGAUCUGGAGGAAUACCGAUGGCGAAGGCAGCCAUCUGGCCUAAUACUGACGCUGAGGUACGAAAGCAUGGGGAGCAAACAGGAUUAGAUACCCUGGUAGUCCAUGCCGUAAACGAUGUCUACUAGCCGUUGGGGCCUUUGAGGCUUUAGUGGCGCAGCUAACGCGAUAAGUAGACCGCCUGGGGAGUACGGUCGCAAGACUAAAACUCAAAUGAAUUGACGGGGGCCCGCACAAGCGGUGGAGCAUGUGGUUUAAUUCGAUGCAACGCGAAGAACCUUACCUGGCCUUGACAUACUAGAAACUUUCCAGAGAUGGAUUGGUGCCUUCGGGAAUCUAGAUACAGGUGCUGCAUGGCUGUCGUCAGCUCGUGUCGUGAGAUGUUGGGUUAAGUCCCGCAACGAGCGCAACCCUUUUCCUUACUUGCCAGCAUUUCGGAUGGGAACUUUAAGGAUACUGCCAGUGACAAACUGGAGGAAGGCGGGGACGACGUCAAGUCAUCAUGGCCCUUACGGCCAGGGCUACACACGUGCUACAAUGGUCGGUACAAAGGGUUGCUACACAGCGAUGUGAUGCUAAUCUCAAAAAGCCGAUCGUAGUCCGGAUUGGAGUCUGCAACUCGACUCCAUGAAGUCGGAAUCGUUAGUAAUCGCGGAUCAGAAUGCCGCGGUGAAUACGUUCCCGGGCCUUGUACACACCGCCCGUCACACCAUGGGAGUUUGUUGCACCAG
rnacentral:rRNA from 1 species